GCCUUACCAAUGUAAGAUCACAAGUCAAACUCUGUAUACCUUACCUUACCUAAAUAAUACAGUGGUACUUGACCUAACUUAAAGUCAGUUUGUUUCCGUAUAUUUAUAACAACAACUUAGCUUCCGAACUCGUGUGACAGUUUUUGUUUAGUAUCUCUUUGUCUUUCUUUUCUUAACCUGAUUUUGUGUUCUAGUUGUCGUCGGUGGGUUUAUGGUUUCAGACUUAGACUUAGUUGUCGUCGGUGGGUUUAAGCCAGUUGUCGUCGAUGGGUUUAUGUUUUAGGCCAUCUCGAUGAUGUUUAUGGUUUUAUAGUUCUCGUCGAUGGGUCUAUGGUUUUAGACCUAGUUGUCGUCGUCGGUGGGUUUAAGCCGGUACGAGGAGGACAAGAAAAAGUCAACUGCCACCAGAUACCCACUUCACGUGAACGAGGAAGUCAAUGAAAAGCCGUGGCUCCGGCAGGUCGGUGAACUCGAGCCAUCGGUACCAUCUUUCGAGCCGGUCGGAAGGACAGCGUGGUCCGGUGUACGGAGGAAGGUGGUCUAGAAACCCCAAGCUCCUCCUCUCUGUUCCCCGUCCCCUGCGGCCGCUCCGACGUCAAGACUGGUCCCCGUCUUCUACCACGGGGCGUCCUCCCCUUCCACGAUGCCGGCGGCCGGCGGCCAUACCGGUAGCUCCCUCUCUCCUCUCCUCUCCAGCACCCACCGACCCCGCGCCCCACCCACUCAGCACCUCCUUCCCUUCUCUCAGUGCUCACUCCGCAAGGCGCACCAGGCCGGCUAAACCUCCUUGCGGGUCCAACUCGUAUUAGUCCCUUAUACGGCAAGGGACCUUACCCACCCAAGGCCAAGGAAGCCGCUAGAUUUGUGCUCUUGCCCGAGACCUUACCUUGGCUGGGCACGGCAAGGCGAAGCACUGACUUUGGUUUGUGUGGAUCUUCGGUCACGACUGUUCUGGGGCCAUGUUUAAGAUGUUCCCUAGCUUGAUGAAGCUCUAGCUGUAACUGCACGUGGUCAAGUCGAUGUAUAGCGCUUUCCCGGAACUCUGGAAGGCUCUCGCCGACUUUGUACCACAGUAGCUAGAACCCGAUUGGUAAAUCCAUAAUAAUAAAAAGGAAAACAAGAACCGGAAUCCUGGGCUGGUUCUAAAACAAGGGACUUUCAGACUUACUUAAAAUGACCUUAUCGUCCCAUAAAAUUGAACAUCAAGUUCCAAUAAACUAAUCUAUUUCCAAGAGUAACGUAUAAAAUACGAGUUUCUUUCUUUAUUAAACAAAUUGUGGUCUACAUACAUCAGUACCAGUACCGCAACUAGGUCUCUUCGAGUUGCUGUUACCGUAUGGGAAGAGGUAAAACUGUAACCUGUUCAACGAAGACUGAUCGCUGACCACCGCGACCUACACGAUAGAAGGAAACAGCACCUUGAAGAAGCUGAGUUGGGCUGGCACAAUGUCCCAAUAGAGGGGGAGGGAGAGAGAACUGGGGGAUAAUAAAAGACCUAACCUUCACCGGAUUUCUUAUCCUACCGUGAACCUUGAUCGUAAAUGUGUACAAAAGAGAGAGUCUAAAACUUCCAACUAAGAGAGGUAUUAGAAAUGGAGACUACUAUAAAGGAAAAGAACCAUAAAACGAAACAGUACACGUAACACUGGACCUCUGGAAAUACUAAUGUAGACGUUGUAUCACUAUCCCUCCACAACGUAUACCACUGAAGGUCAGACUCACAUGUAAAUAGAGGAAAAUGAGAUAGUACGAUUGCAUAAUAGACUUAGGGUAACAGACUUGUUACGGUAAAUAAAAUAGAGGACGGUUUUAUUACUCUACUAGAUAUAAAUACAGGGAAGAUAAAAUUAAUCUAUCACAAUAAUCCCUAUAUAUCAAAACUUUCAAGUUUGAUCUAGAUAAGUAAUAAUAAUCAUUAACUCGACGACUAAUAUUGUUAUACGAAUGUACUCAAAGUAUGAUUCACGUAUAGUAAGGAGCGACUAGAAGUCACACAACAUUUAUAUCGAUAUUAUAAGUAACAAUCAGUUUAAUGAAUGAUAACUUUACAGCUCCAAGAGAUAUUUACAGUAGAGCGUAACCCACAGACUUAAAUCUGAGGCCGACAUCCCAACAAACACAACACACCAUACUUAACGGAAACAUGAAGUUUUACGUACAUAGCUCACAGCUAAAAGACUAUUUUACUAGAUAUAUAGACGUAAUGUCAACCUUAUAAGUAUACAUACCAAAGUGCGAAGGUUCUUAUUGUUUGUGAUACGUGGGUCGAGAGAGAAAACACCGGUGAUUGGUAAGUGAAAGAAAACAAGGAUGUUGGAACUAACCGAAUUCAAACUAAAAUAUAACGCAUGAAGUUCGUGGCUAUCUGGUAGUGUACAAACUUAAUAAAUAAAAAGUCUCUAAUAAAGAGACCUAAAGGUAAAAAUAACUAGUCUUCCGUACCCACGUCCAUAGUUGUUAACGUCACAACUCACCAGUAUUGGUGAGCGAAAACACGGGUGUAAAAAGUUUUUAUGACGUUUCUAUGUAAACUAAAAUUAACACGAUUUUUGUUGCUAAACCAGACCUGAUUCAUGUUGUAUGGUUUAACUGUAAAAGGAGAACCAAUAAAUGAAUGACAUGACACAGUCUACCGUUAUUCAUCCACUUAACAUACGACCCUACGUUUAACAUGAAGAUUCAUUCUGGUGUGCUUGACGAUUAGACUAAUAGGCACAUUAUUUUAGAAGAGAUUAGAUUCGAAGUUUCGAUGUACUUGAUGGUAUAAAAAAGUAAACAACCGACGUGAUUUUUAUCCCUGUACGAGAUUAUUACUGUGAAAGAUAAACGUCAUCAUGACAACUCGGUUAACUAUGAUCCACACGUACUUAUAAACGGAACGGUCAUACUAAACUAAGCCUGCACCUACCCAGUACAGAAAAUAAACCGAGCAAAGAAGGGCACAAGGAGUAGAAAGACCUACGCAGCGUCAACCCUGUUACCGCACGGCCUUCCGACAGAACGUUCAACUGGCCUCUCCCUCAUGUGGCCUCUCCGAAGACUCUACCGACUCCCUAGACAGAUCCCAAACGACCAACUAAACAGGACCAACCCCAGACGAACACGAGAACCGAGGACCCGAUGCGGCGAACUUCAACGAAGCAACCAAAGGAACGUCCUGGCAACUAGACACGUAGGUCCGUGGGUUCGAAAAGAAGCGCGCUACCAUAGUCCGUGUGUCUCCCUCGAGAAGAGGUACCCACGCUACUUGUUACUAGUACUAGGGGCAAGGUGUGACAGUGGUCGAUCGUUCUACUUCGUAAGACAGUGCCAAUCCGGCUUCCGAUACGAAUCGCAGCAAGAACGAUCUCUACCAAAUGGGCUCCACUUAAUGUUCUGGACGCGUAGAAUGGCACCGGCACACCACCGAUGACGAUAGAAGACCGGUAGUGUCAGCGCAAGCAGACGUCGCCGUCUCGUAUACUACUAGUUACCGUUGGGUCGACACCUACGGUUACCCUGUACGUUUUACGACGAGGAGCCACGAACCUCGUAGAAGUUCGGUGGUACCUAUAACUUAAACCGACGGGAGUUUCGUCUUUUAAAUCUGGCUCUACUUCAUGGACAGUCCGUCACAGCUACUCUUCCUGUCCUUCUAGUCUCUAUACUUCCGAUUCCACCUUUUUUCCUUAAACGCCCGGUUCCCCGAAUGGUACAACUCAUUUAUCCGUCAAAAAGCUAAUUUAAUUAGGUACUUAUUUAGUACUCGUACUG
rnacentral:rRNA from 1 species